AUGGAGCUAGGGUCCCCGGCCUCAGACGCCUCCUGUCCAUGUGUCUGCCGGCGUGCCUUGCAGAAGGGGCUGAGUGACAGGCUCACUUUGGCCUCCACCGUCCUCCUGGGCUGGACCCAACAGCCGCGUGCUGUCUGCACUCUCCCCCUCUCUGCGCCCUCUUCUCAGCUCUGCCUCUGGACUUACGAGGGGCCAACGACCUCCCCAGUACCUGACGCAUGUGGUCACAGGGCUGCAACUUCAGCGGGUCCCCUCUCCCGAGCCUCAGGCCGGGCCUUGUCACUGGCGUCCUUCAACUCUGGGGAAGGCUCACAGCCCCGGGCCCUGCAGUCUGAGGCAUCACCAUGGCCACAGGCCCAGCCCCGGAAGCGCUGGGUCCAGGCGCAGCCUCUCCCUCACUGUCCCUGUGGGGUCGUGUACACCUGGCCUCUUGAUGAUGCCAUGGCCCCUGCCCCGGGCAUCUCCUGCCCAUUCAUGCCAUCGAGCCCUCCUCCUCUGCAGGGACACCCACCGAACUCCACGCCAGGCGCGGCUUGUGGCCCUGGGGCUUGUGCUGCCGCUGCGCGCCAGGCCUCGGGGUCAGCAGGCCCCCACUGUCCCCUCCCACGGGCCUCGGCCCGAAGGACAGCCUGCAUGGUGACCUCCACUCUGUACUGUCUAGGAUGACACCUCCAGGCCGGGCCCCCGCGACGCACUUGUCCCCAGCAGGCUGAUGCCUGGUGGGACUCGGAUGUUUCCCUCCCACCCGCACCUGCUCCCUGUCAUGGAGGAGGCCCCUGAGAGUGGGCUGCCCUGUGGACACCCGCGGCUCCACACUAGCCAGAGCUGCCGCCCCAUCAGCGGUGCUUCCCGGAAUGACUGGCACUUACAGGUGACACUGCCAGUGCACUGGGGUCUGCAAACUGGCACUCCAGCAGGGCUGGAUGGAGAGAGGGACACCCCAUGGACAGACGGCCCCACCUCCACACAGGCCCAGGCAGUGGAGCCCAGAGGGCAGUGGAGGCCAAGUGCUGCACCGCUCCCAGGUGUGGGCCUUGUGUCCCCACGGCAAGGCUGCCCUGUCGGGGUGCUCAGAACCUGGGCGGGCUUGUGGCCGUGUGACGAUCCCUCCUAGGACCUGUGCCGUCUGCCCUCAGGGCACAAUGAGGGCAUACGUGGCCUGCGCUAGCACCAGGGACUGUGCGCCCUGCUUCCACUUCCCGUUCCAGAGACUCAGCUCUGCCACGUGCUCCAGAGGGUCCCAGCUGCACUAAGAAGGGCUCCGCAGCUCCUGCCUCGGGCCCAGCCCAUGACCGGACAGCUCUCAGCCAAGCAGACUGGCACUCCGGGAACCUGGAUGCAAGGAGUGCACCAUCCUGCCGGGUGCAAAAGCUCCAGGGGCUCAUUCCUCUCGGGUGUGACCUGGCUCUCCGAGGCUGCUGUGCAGGGCACAGAUCUGCAGACUCAGUCCUGAGGUGACAGAGCACAGCACAGCCAGGCCUGGGAACCAGCCCCGGGCACAGAGCAGGCUGCUGGGGACAGGCCGUGGCUCAGCCUUGAGCCACCCGAACCCACCGAGAGUUGCCUAGAGAGGCGAACUGCCCAGGGAGGAAGCUAGUAGCAGCAGCAGCAGCAGCAUUCCACCACGGGAUCCUGGAUGUUGCACAUAUGACAGGCACACAGACCAAAUGAGCACGUGCCACAGAGAGCCCUGGACCGUCUGCAUGGAGCACGCUUUCUGCGGGUGCUCUCCCCGCCUUCGGGCCACCACCAAAGACUUCUUCCACUGAAAGAGCGAGACUAGGCAGGGUGGAGAGGAGCGCGCAGCAGAGCUGAAAGCAAAGGCGAACAGCCCGUGGGUCAGGCCCUGACUAUAGCUCUGGGCAGCAGGCCUGCGGCCAUUGGUGUGGUGCAUCCUCGGGGUCUCUGUACCUCGUUUCCCAGCAGAGCAGAAACACAGGCUUCCGAGGCAUCGCAGAUGGCUGUCAGGUCAUGGCCUCCCUCGAGGGCCAGCACGAUCCGGCCGCCGGCCAGGCCCAUCAGCUGCUUCGUCAGGUACCCGAAACCUGCAACAGGAAAGGGAGGUGGGGAGCAUUGUGGCAAGGUGCUUCCCACAAGAACCAGGGGUGGGGCACUGCCAUCCCUGGCAGGGCCCAGUGAGACUCAUGAGUCCACUGAAGAGCCCAGCUUGGGACCCUCUGGCCUAUGGGGAGCAUGCGGGGUAUUUUUGGUGUGCUCUGAGGGCGGAGCCAGCUAACCCCACCAAGGGACUGCACCAUCUACUGCUUCCCAGGGGGCCCUGCUGUCCCGGGCAGCUGGUGUGCUCUGCAUGUGUGCAUGCACGCACACACACACAGGUAUAAGCACACACAGGUCAGCGCUGUGAUGCCCACAUAGGGAUUUCUAUGUUCACAUCUGGGUGUCUAUUUCGAUUGAGUCCCACAGUGCCUCUUCUAUGCCCAAUGUCCACCCUAGAGAUGGCACUUGUUGCUUGCUGCCUGGUCACCCGUUGGCCAUGAGACCCCAUGAUGAGGGACAGGUUUGUCUGAGCAGCCACACUAGAGUGGCUCUGUCUCCCUGGGGCCCCAGGGUGAAGGCACUGGCUGCUGGCACCAUCAGUACUGGCUAGGAAGUAAGGUAACUUCCCUUCAGUCACAAACCGAACAGAGCUGGUCCCGACCGACACUUACAUCUGGCAGAGAGGUUGUACCCUCCGAGAGGUGUGGGGUGGCCCUCCACGGCAUCGAAGCCCGAUGACACCAGCACCAUGUCUGGGGCAAACUCAUUGGCAAUUGGCAUGACCACGGUUCUGCAAGGGCAGGAGAAGGUGUCACCAGACCAGCAGAGGACAUGGCAGAGGGAGGAUGGGCGGUCACCAAACAUGGGUGGUCGGAGGGUACGUCCACACAGGGUCCACUGCAGCAAGUGGGCUGGAGUCUGAAGGCUCACUUAGCUUGAGGGAAUUCACCCACGAGAUGGUGGAGCACGUCACAGGUAUGUCCGAAGCCUGCACCCACAGCCUCAGCGUAAACGCCAGUGCAGGUUGUGGCACUGGGGCCCCAGGCUUUCUGUCUCCGAGGUGAUCUGGAACCACUGCGGCACAGGCUGUGUUCACACCGGUGGAGGGAGUGUCACCCCAGCUGUCCCCACCCCAGCUCUGGCCCUGGCCACCUGAUCAUUCCUGCAGAGGCAGGGUGCCCUGCCUGAGACAAGGACAACAAACACUUCCCAGGGCAUCCAUCCAAGCACGUGCAGUACCGUCCCCGUGCAUGGCACAGGAAGGCUGGGCACCCCGGCAGGCCGUGCCAGCCCUGCAGAGGCCUGGUGCCCCCGACCAGGGACUACAUACACGUGCGAGUGAACUAAAAAGCACGUAGACACUUAGGGUGAUCAGAAGGCACAGUGAGAACACACUUCAGAAUUCUGGGAAAUACAGUGGUUUACAUCUUCUGGGGACAUGAAUGAGAUAUUUCACUUGAGAAGUGGGAAAACCACCUCUUAAUGCACAACCCCUGUGCUGCUCAUAGUCGAACACUCAGCAGAUAGCAGAUAGCAGGGCUUUUAGGUGCACACGAUGCAGACAGAGUCGGGAUAGAAGCAGUCUCAGGGGAGCUUGGCACUCACCACACUGGAUUCUGAAUCACUGCUGCUGGGGCCAGGCGGGCAGCCACGGACCCUCUCCUAGGGCAGCAGCAGUGACCCCGACAGGGAGGUGGGCUGAAGCCCCUAAUGCCGGCCAAGGAAGGUGGGUUGGACCCCUCAUCUCCCCAGAAAACCCGGGCACGUGCACAACUGACCACCUGUGCUGUGGCCAGGACCGCCCUCACCCUGCAGCCUCCACGGCUGCUGUGUGCCAGCACAGGACGCCAUGGCGUCAGCCUGAGGCCACCACUCAGCCUGGCAAGGGGUGGCUGACGCUGCUCUGUGGCUCCCUGUGUUCCUGCNNNNNNNNNNNNNNNNNNNNNNNNNNNNNNNNNNNNNNNNNNNNNNNNCUGAGGCCAGGCCUUGCAGCAGGCUAAAGAAGGGACCCUGAGGGUAUGCAGCUCUACACCGAGGGCUCUGAGCACCAUCACUAGGGCACACGAGCACAAGGCAGGGGACCCUAGACCACGUCAGCCAUCUUUCCUGCCUUGGGCUCUAGAGCUGACUUCAGUCCUGGAGGCACCAAGGUCUUGUGCUGGGAUGCUCCAGGCUCCCAUGCACUGUGCCAGUCCUACUGCCCAGAUGGAGACCCGCGAGGACAGCGGUGCUGGGGAAGACACGGCCUGGGUGUGUGGCUCUGGCAGGUCCACACUGCUCUGCCCGCCCUGCAGGGACGACAUGGCCCGGUCCAUACCGCUCUGCCCUGUCCUGAUCUCAGGCUUUCCUGAGCCAGGCUUGUGCUGUCGUUUCCUGCAGCACAAAACAUUUAAACAGAGCAUUUGCCCUGUGGGCCCUGGCGCGGGUGGUCCUGAUCCUGCCUGGGCAGCUGGAAGCUGGGCCCUGUUGGCCGAGUCAGAGGUGAAUG
rnacentral:lncRNA from 1 species